rnacentral:misc_RNA from 1 species
UCUCCGUUGGUGAACCAGCGGAGGGAACAUUAUCGAGUUUAUAACUCCCAAACCCUAUGUGAACUUACCACUUGUUGCUUCGGCGCGCGCUUCGGCGCCGCCGAGGACACUUAAACUCUUUGUUUUUAUAAGCAUUUCUGAGUGGCCGAAAGGCAAAAUACAAAUGAAUCAAAACUUUCAACAACGGAUCUCUUGGUUCUGGCAUCGAUGAAGAAAGCAGC